rnacentral:rRNA from 1 species
CGACGAAUAUUCCGCAAUGCGCGAAAGCGUGACGGAGCAAUGCCGCGUGUGGGAUGAAGCGGUUUCGCCGUGUAAACCACUGUCAGGACCUAGGAAGAACUGACCAGGUCCAGAGGAAGGGCCGGCUAAUCUCGUGCCAGCAGCCGCGGUAAGACGAGAGGCCCAAGCGUUAGGCGGAAUCACUGGGCUUAAAGGGUGCGCAGGCGGACCUUCAAGCGUGUUGUGAAAUCCCACGGCUCAACCGUGGAACUGCAAUGCGAACUGUCGGUCUUGAGGCAGGUAGGGGCCAGCGGAACGUUCGGUGGAGCGGUGAAAUGCGUAGAUAUCGAACGGAACGCCGAUGGUGAAGACAGCUGGCUGGGCCUGUCCUGACGCUCAGGCACGAAAGCGUGGGGAGCAAACAGGAUUAGAUACCCCCGUAGUCC